rnacentral:rRNA from 1 species
UACGGAGGGAGCAAGCGUUGUUCGGAUUUACUGGGCGUAAAGGGCGUGUAGGCGGCCUUGUAAGUCGGGCGUGAAAUCCUCUGGCUCAACCAGAGACGCGCACUCGAUACUGCAAGGCUUGAGUACAGGAGAGGAAAGCGGAAUUCCUGGUGUAGCGGUGAAAUGCGUAGAUAUCAGGAAGAACACCAGUGGCGAAGGCGGCUUUCUGGCCUGUUACUGACGCUGAGGCGCGAAAGCUAGGGGAGCGAACAGGAUUAGAUACCCCCGUA